UACGGAGGUUCCAAGCGUUGUUCGGAAUUACUGGGCGUAAAGGGAGCGCGGGCGGAUAGGUCAGUUUAAAGUGGAAUCCCAGGGCUCAACCCUGGACGUGCUUUGGAUACUGCCUGUCUUGAGUUCGUGAGAGGAAAGUGGAAUUCAGGGUGUAGCGGUGAAAUGCUUAGAUAUCCUGAGGAACACCAGUGGCGAAAGCGACUUUCUGGCACGAAACUGACGCUGAGGCUCGAAAGCAUGGGUAGCGAACGGG
rnacentral:rRNA from 1 species